ACGAAGGGGGCUAGCGUUGCUCGGAAUCACUGGGCGUAAAGGGCGCGUAGGCGGCCAAGUAAGUUGGGGGUGAAAGCCCGUGGCUCAACCACGGAAUUGCCUUCGAUACUGCUUGGCUUGAGACCGGAAGAGGUGAGUGGAACUGCGAGUGUAGAGGUGAAAUUCGUAGAUAUUCGCAAGAACACCAGUGGCGAAGGCGGCUCACUGGUCCGGUUCUGACGCUGAGGCGCGAAAGCGUGGGGAGCAAACGGGA
rnacentral:rRNA from 1 species